AAAUGCAGUCGAACGAUGAUCCCAGCUUGCUGGGGGAUUAGUGGCGAACGGGUGAGUAACACGUGAGUAACCUGCCCUUAACUCUGGGAUAAGCCUGGGAAACUGGGUCUAAUACCGGAUAUGACUCCUCAUCGCAUGGUGGGGGGUGGAAAGCUUUUUGUGGUUUUGGAUGGACUCGCGGCCUAUCAGCUUGUUGGUGAGGUAAUGGCUUACCAAGGCGACGACGGGUAGCCGGCCUGAGAGGGUGACCGGCCACACUGGGACUGAGACACGGCCCAGACUCCUACGGGAGGCAGCAGUGGGGAAUAUUGCACAAUGGGCGCAAGCCUGAUGCAGCGACGCCGCGUGAGGGAUGACGGCCUUCGGGUUGUAAACCUCUUUCAGUAGGGAAGAAGCGAAAGUGACGGUACCUGCAGAAGAAGCGCCGGCUAACUACGUGCCAGCAGCCGCGGUAAUACGUAGGGCGCAAGCGUUAUCCGGAAUUAUUGGGCGUAAAGAGCUCGUAGGCGGUUUGUCGCGUCUGCCGUGAAAGUCCGGGGCUCAACUCCGGAUCUGCGGUGGGUACGGGCAGACUAGAGUGAUGUAGGGGAGACUGGAAUUCCUGGUGUAGCGGUGAAAUGCGCAGAUAUCAGGAGGAACACCGAUGGCGAAGGCAGGUCUCUGGGCAUUAACUGACGCUGAGGAGCGAAAGCAUGGGGAGCGAACAGGAUUAGAUACCCUGGUAGUCCAUGCCGUAAACGUUGGGCACUAGGUGUGGGGGACAUUCCACGUUUUCCGCGCCGUAGCUAACGCAUUAAGUGCCCCGCCUGGGGAGUACGGCCGCAAGGCUAAAACUCAAAGGAAUUGACGGGGGCCCGCACAAGCGGCGGAGCAUGCGGAUUAAUUCGAUGCAACGCGAAGAACCUUACCAAGGCUUGACAUGAACCGGAAACGCCUGGAGACAGGUGCCCCGCUUGCGGUCGGUUUACAGGUGGUGCAUGGUUGUCGUCAGCUCGUGUCGUGAGAUGUUGGGUUAAGUCCCGCAACGAGCGCAACCCUCGUUCUAUGUUGCCAGCACGUGAUGGUGGGGACUCAUAGGAGACUGCCGGGGUCAACUCGGAGGAAGGUGGGGACGACGUCAAAUCAUCAUGCCCCUUAUGUC
rnacentral:rRNA from 1 species